rnacentral:rRNA from 1 species
UCGUAACAAGGUCUCCGCUGGUGAACCAGCGGAGGGAUCAUUACUGAGUUUACGCUCUACAACCCUUUGUGAACAUACCUAUAACUGUUGCUUCGGCGGGUAGGGUCUCCGCGACCCUCCCGGCCUCCCGCCUCCGGGCGGGUCGGCGCCCGCCGGAGGAUAACCAAACUCUGAUUUAACGACGUUUCUUCUGAGUGGUACAAGCAAAUAAUCAAAACUUUUAACAACGGAUCUCUUGGUUCUGGCAUCGAUGAAGAACGCAGCGAAAUGCGAUAAGUAAUGUGAAUUGCAGAAUUCAGUGAAUCAUCGAAUCUUUGAACGCACAUUGCGCCCGCCAGCAUUCUGGCGGGCAUGCCUGUUCGAGCGUCAUUUCAACCCUCAAGCUCUGCUUGGUGUUGGGGCCCUACAGCUGAUGUAGGCCCUCAAAGGUAGUGGCGGACCCUCUCGGAGCCUCCUUUGCGUAGUAACUUUACGUCUCGCACUGGGAUCCGGAGGGACUCUUGCCGUAAAACCCCCAAUUUCCAAAGGUUGACCUCGGAUCAGGUAG